rnacentral:lncRNA from 1 species
UCAAGAGGGUAGAUGUUAGAACAAAGUGCUGCUUAACAAGUUGGUCCUUGCAGCAGGUGCUGACUUUUCUAGAAUAUUUGGGUUGAGGAAAGAGAGUGGUGCCAGGGAGAGGGAAUCAAUCAGUACUCCAGGGACUAGGAAUAUGUCAUUUUAGUGCUGAAGUAAGUGGGUCAGAGGGACAUGCCUGAGAGGAUGGAAGCCUCAGACCCAGAAGAAGUCAGAAACCCAAUGGUCCUGUCUCCCAGCUCUACCCCAAAUAGAAUAUCAUAGCCAGAGAAGCAAGGCUUUAUCUAUGACCAGAGAUUGAAAGGUGAGGCAAU